rnacentral:rRNA from 1 species
GUCCAGACUCCUACGGGAGGCAGCAGUGGGGAAUAUUGCACAAUGGGGGAAACCCUGAUGCAGCAACGCCGCGUGAGUGAAGAAGUAUUUCGGUAUGUAAAGCUCUAUCAGCAGGGAAGAAAAUGACGGUACCUGAGUAAGAAGCCCCGGCUAACUACGUGCCAGCAGCCGCGGUAAUACGUAGGGGGCAAGCGUUAUCCGGAUUUACUGGGUGUAAAGGGAGCGUAGACGGCGAUACAAGUCUGAAGUGAAAGCCCGGGGCGCAACCCCGGGACUGCUUUGUAAACUGUGUUGCUGGAGUGCUGGAGAGGCAAGCGGAAUUUCUAGUGUAGCGGUGAAAUGCGUAGAUAUUAGGAGGAACACCAGUGGCGAAGGCGGCCUGCCGGGCUUUAACUGACGCUGAGGCUCGAAAGCGUGGGGAGCAAACAGGAUUAGAUACCCUAGUAAU